rnacentral:rRNA from 1 species
AGUGAACGCUGGCGGUAGGCCUAACACAUGCAAGUCGAACGGCAGCACAGUAAGAGCUUGCUCUUACGGGUGGCGAGUGGCGGACGGGUGAGGAAUACAUCGGAAUCUACUUUUUCGUGGGGGAUAACGUAGGGAAACUUCCGCUAAUACCGCAUACGACCUACGGGUGAAAGCAGGAGAUCUUCGGACCUUGCGCGAUUGAAUGAGCCGAUGUCGGAUUAGCUAGUUGGCGGGGUAAAGGCCCACCAAGGCGACGAUCCGUAGCUGGUCUGAGAGGAUGAUCAGCCACACUGGAACUGAGACACGGUCCAGACUCCUACGGGAGGCAGCAGUGGGGAAUAUUGGACAAUGGGCGAAAGCCUGAUCCAGCCAUACCGCGUGGGUGAAGAAGGCCUUCGGGUUGUAAAGCCCUUUUGUUGGGAAAGAAAAGCAGCAGGUUAAUACCCCGCUGUUCUGACGGUACCCAAAGAAUAAGCACCGGCUAACUUCGUG